GUGGGGAAUAUUGGACAAUGGGCGCAAGCCUGAUCCAGCCAUGCCGCGUGAGUGAUGAAGGCCCUAGGGUUGUAAAGCUCUUUCACCGAUGAAGAUAAUGACGGUAGUCGGAGAAGAAGCCCCGGCUAACUUCGUGCCAGCAGCCGCGGUCAUACGAAGGGGGCUAGCGUUGUUCUGAAUUACUGGGCGUCACGCGCACGUAUGCGGAUAUUUAAGUCAGGGGUGAAAUCCCGGGGCUCAACCCCGGAACUGCCUUUGAUACUGGGUAUCUCGAGUAUGGAAGAGGUGAGUGGAAUUCCGAGUGUAGAGGUGAAAUUCGUAGAUAUUCGGAGGAACACCAGUGGCGAAGGCGGCUCACUGGUCCAUGACUGACGCUGAGGUGCGAAAGCGUGGGGAGCAAACAGGAGUAGAUACCCCGGUAGGCC
rnacentral:rRNA from 1 species